ACUAAAGAUGCGGGGAGCACACAACGGGUGAGCUGCGGUUUAAUGGACUCAACGCCGGGCAGCUCACGGAUAGGACAGCGGAAUGAUAGCCGGGCUGAAGACCUUGCUUGACCAGCUGAGAGGAGGUGCAUGGCCGUCGUCAGUUCGUACUGUGAAGCAUCCUGUUUAGUCAGGCAACGAGCGAGACCCACGCCAACAGUUGCUAGCAUGUUCUCCGGAAUGAUGAGGACACUGUUGGGACCGCCUCUGCUAAAGAGGAGGAAGGAAUGGGCAACGGUAGGUCAGCAUGCCCCGAAUUAUCCGGGCUACACGCGGGCUACAAUGGUCAGGACAAUGGGAAACGGCACUGAAAAGUGUAGUCAAUCUCCUAAACCUGUCCCAAGUUCGGAUUGUGGGCUGCAACUCGCCCACAUGAAGCUGGAAUCCGUAGUAAUCGCGUUCAAAAUAGCGCGGGAAUAAGUCCCUGCUCCUGCACACACCGUA
rnacentral:rRNA from 1 species